GAAGCAGAGGUUUUUCUUAAGGUCAGAUCCAGUGGUGGGAACACUAUACUUAAUGUCAAAGUCCAAGGGACCCCGAAACUUCGACCACUGAUUGAGGGAGAUUACUUAAUUUACUAUGUAGACGAGAACUGUGGAAUAAUACGGCCCCGCAGCAGCGAGAACGGAGUGUGUACAGCCUGGGUAACAGCACGUACAGCAGCUUUCACGCACAGUGCCUGCAAAAAGGCAUUUGUGGCGAACUGUAGAACAUGCCAGACAAAUGAAGAAACGGCCACUGCUGGAUAAAAACGAGGACCCGGCAUUCAAUAACAUAUCCGACAAUAUCCCAUAAUAAAAGCAACUGCUACCUGAAUAAUCAUUUUAUUUUUACCUCGUACUAAACUGAAAGUAGUAUAUGCAAUAU